UGGUUCUGGCAUCGAUGAAGAACGCAGCGAAAUGCGAUAAGUAAUGCGAAUUGCAGAAUUCAGUGAGUCAUCGAAUCUUUGAACGCAUAUUGCGCCCUUUGGCACUCCGAAGGGCAUGCCUGUUCGAGCGUCAUUAUCAACCGUCAAGCCUGGCUUGUUGUUGGACUUCUGGUCGUUGGACCGGUCUAAAAGGCAGCAGGUGGGACCUGGUAGCCCUCGAUAUAAUAAGCUUCUUAUAGCACAUAUCUGCGGGCUAGCGGGCCUAUCUUUAAGCUUUAAUUUUCUCAGGUUGACCUCGGAUCAGGUAAGAAUACCCGCUGA
rnacentral:misc_RNA from 1 species